GUACUAUAAGGAUGUAUUAAAAGAGGCACAAUUAUUGUUAAAAGGGCUGUAUACUGAUGCAGCAAACAAUUACAAUCCCCCACUAACAAGGCCACUUGCUAUGUUAAAAUUGUAGCACAUUAUAGCUUCGAUUAUGCUCAACAGGUUCACUAUCCUUCAAGUCCACUACAAGCAGGUCCAAUUUAUUUUCUUACUCCCAGGAAAUGUGGCAUAUUUGGUGUGUGCUGUGAAGCUAUCCCUCAGCAGGUUAAUUUCUUGAUCAAUGAAUCAUUCGACACUGGUAAAGGGGCAAAUCCUGUCAUAAGCAUGGUACAUUUUUAUUUGAAGAAUCAUGGCCUCAACUCAGUCAGUAUCCAUUUCAAUGCUGACAACUGCACAGGGCAAAAUAAAAAUAAUACAGUUAUUCAAUACCUCUUAUGGAGAGUCAUGACAGGACUCAAUGCGUCCAUUUCAAUAUCUUUUUUGCCAGUUGG